UACGUAGGGCGCAAGCGUUGUCCGGAAUUAUUGGGCGUAAAGAGCUCGUAGGCGGUUUGUCGCGUCUGCUGUGAAAACCUAAGGCUCAACCUUGGGCUUGCAGUGGGUACGGGCAGACUAGAGUGUGGUAGGGGAGACUGGAAUUCCUGGUGUAGCGGUGAAAUGCGCAGAUAUCAGGAGGAACACCGGUGGCGAAGGCGGGUCUCUGGGCCGAUACUGACACUGAGGAGCGAAAGCGUGGGGAGCGAACAGG
rnacentral:rRNA from 1 species